AACAAACGCUGGCGGCGUGUCUUAAGCAUGCAAGUUGAGCGGCAAGGAGGAGAGAUCCUCCUAGAGCAGCGGACUGGUGAGUAACGCGUGGGUAAUCUAUCUUAGGCAUGGGGAUAGUCACUAGAAAUAGUGGGUAAUACCGAAUAAGUUCCAUAAGGGGAGGACUUAUGGAAGAAAGGUGCUACGGCACUGGCCUUAGGUGAGCUCGCGUCCCAUUAGCUAGUUGGUGAGGUAAAGGCCCACCAAGGCGAUGAUGGGUAGCCGGCCUGAGAGGGUGUACGGCCACACUGGGACUGAGAUACGGCCCAGACUCCUACGGGAGGCAGCAGCUAAGAAUAUUCCGCAAUGGACGGAAGUCUGACGGAGCGACGCCGCGUGGAUGAAGAAGGCCGAAAGGUUGUAAAGUUCUUUUGCUAGGGGAGAAUAAGUGUGGGAGGGAAUGCCUGCACGAUGACAAGGACUAGCGAAUAAGUCCCGGCCAACUACGUG
rnacentral:rRNA from 1 species